rnacentral:rRNA from 1 species
AACGAACGCUGGCGGCAGGCUUAACACAUGCAAGUCGAGCGCCCCGCAAGGGGAGCGGCAGACGGGUGAGUAACGCGUGGGAAUCCACCCAUCUCUACGGAAUAACGCAUGGAAACGUGUGCUAAUACCGUAUACGUCCUUCGGGAGAAAGAUUUAUCGGAGAUGGAUGAGCCCGCGUUGGAUUAGCUAGUUGGUGGGGUAAAGGCCUACCAAGGCGACGAUCCAUAGCUGGUCUGAGAGGAUGAUCAGCCACACUGGGACUGAGACACGGCCUAGACUCCUACGGGAGGCAGCAGUGGGGAAUAUUGGACAAUGGGCGCAAGCCUGAUCCAGCCAUGCCGCGUGAGUGAUGAAGGCCCUAGGGUUGUAAAGCUCUUUCACCGGUGAAGAUAAUGACGGUAACCGGAGAAGAAGCCCCGGCUAACUUCGUGCCAGCCGCCGCUGUAAAAC